UCUUGUGGAUGAAUAAAGAGAGUGGUUUCCUGAGAUGGAAUCAACUCUUGAUGAAGAUGCUGUGAA
rnacentral:pre_miRNA from 1 species